rnacentral:rRNA from 1 species
CGACGUGGAUAACCUGCCUCACACAGGGGGAUAACAGUUAGAAAUGACUGCUAAUACCGCAUAAGCGCACGGCAUCGCAUGAUGCAGUGUGGAAAACUCCGGUGGUGUGAGAUGGAUCCGCGUCUGAUUAGGUAGUUGGUGGGGUAACGGCCUACCAAGCCGACGAUCAGUAGCCGACCUGAGAGGGUGACCGGCCACAUUGGGACUGAGACACGGCCCAA